CCGGCUAACUACGUGCCAGCAGCCGCGGUAAUACGUAGGGUGCAAGCGUUAAUCGGAAUUACUGGGCGUAAAGCGUGCGCAGGCGGUUCGCUAAGACAGAUGUGAAAUCCCCGGGCUUAACCUGGGAACUGCAUUUGUGACUGGCGGGCUAGAGUAUGGCAGAGGGGGGUAGAAUUCCACGUGUAGCAGUGAAAUGCGUAGAGAUGUGGAGGAAUACCGAUGGCGAAGGCAGCCCCCUGGGCCAAUACUGACGCUCAUGCACGAAAGCGUGGGGAGCAAACAGGAUUAGAUACCCUGGUAGUCCACGCCCUAAACGAUGUCAACUAGUUGUCGGGUCUUCAUUGACUUGGUAACGUAGCUAACGCGUGAAGUUGACCGCCUGGGGAGUACGGUCGCAAGAUUAAAACUCAAAGGAAUUGACGGGGACCCGCACAAGCGGUGGAUGAUGUGGAUUAAUUCGAUGCAACGCGAAAAACCUUACCUACCCUUGACAUGUAUGGAAUCCUGCUGAGAGGUGGGAGUGCCCGAAAGGGAGCCAUAACACAGGUGCUGCA
rnacentral:rRNA from 1 species